UGAGGAAUCUGUCCAUCGGCGGGGGAUAGCCGGCCCAACGGCCGGGUAAUACCGCGUACGACCUUUCGGGGACAUCCCCGGAUGGUGAAAGCAGCAAUGCGCCGAUGGAGUGCCUCGCGGCCUAUCAGCUAGUUGGUGGGGUAACGGCUCACCAAGGCAACGAUGGGUAGCUGGUCUGAGAGGAUGGCCAGCCACAUUGGGACUGAGACACGGCCCAGACUCCUACGGGAGCAG
rnacentral:rRNA from 1 species